AACUUAGAGAGAUUAAUGGAUGCAUAAACAUAAAAGAGAGAGCAAAGAGAUAGAACUUCAGUAAGAACUUCAGUAUCCUUAUGUUUUGACAUUGAUACUUCGUAUUGUGACGCAAUAAGCAAUAUGGAAAAAAUUAUAGGAUCCACAGGAGGAAAGUGCAAGGAGCAAUACAAAUCUAGCAUAUUUUAAAUCACAAAAUCCUAGUGACUCAAACAAUACUUACAUUGAGGCCAAAAGACAAGAUCCACAUGACUAUUUUCAAUAUCCAUUUACAUCUCAGCAUUUGGGCUACUCCCACCUGCUUAAAGCAAAACUCAGCUAUAAAAAUUUCGAAUUUGCAGCUACUAAAAAAUAUAAAUGGUCCAUAUGUAUAAUUUUGGACAUCUACAAAGCAGUCCCUCGCAAUUCUAUUUCCACAACUUGGGGUUAGCACUAACCAUAAUCAACAGAUUUCCCAUCCAUCCAUCUUUUGUCACAAACCAUGAUGAAGUUGCUUGAGGUGACAGUCACUGUGGUCAUCACAUAUCCAUAAAAGAAAUUAGAAAAUGGACAAGAGGGUCAUUCUUGCCAGGAAACAGCACUAGUGUUAAAGUUGCUGAAAGCAGAGUGCGAGAAAUCAUUUAGAAAAUGCGACAAGUUAUAGUAAGCAUUACAUCAAAUACUCAAAUUAAUUGCAAUCCAGAAGUGGACCUUUUUGCCAUGAAUCAAGAAUAUAUUUGACAAUUGAGAUUAUCUUUAAAAGCUUGAGGUGCUUCCUUAGGUCACUCUCUGCUUGCUUGCAUAUAAAGCCAAACCUACACCUUCUUAGUGUUGCUUCUAAUACUUCAAAUGAAACCUAGAAAGACUUCACUCAGUCUCUAGCAUCUCAUCCAGCUCAUCAAAUGAAUGGCAUGUAACAUAUUUAAACCACAAGUAAUCAAACUGUAAAAAGAGAAUGUUCUUGUAUCAUAAUUACUAUGAACAUGAUUCGCCAAUACCUGAACCUCAAACAAAAAACUAGCCUCAUUUCCUUCCUCCAAUCCAAAAGCAACACACAAAGCCCAAGGUUAUUCCCAGGCAAAUCUCGGGGUACCCAGAAAGAGACAGAACGCUCUUGACUUUGGAUAAACCAACAUGCUAUCUCUCUUCAAGGAAAUAUAGUAUCCAUGUAGUGACCCAUCUCACCAACAUCCGGCUAUAGCAAAUCUAUUAAAUCAGAAAUCACAUCAGCUCAUGCACAUGUGUAAU
rnacentral:lncRNA from 1 species